rnacentral:lncRNA from 1 species
AUCUAUGACUGACUGACAGCAGCGGCGAAUUUAUGACCAGUAUUAGUUUAUGUGGUUCAUUUCCUUUUCUCUAAUUUGAAAAUAUUUUUACUUGUUCCGACUGGUGUGAUAAUUUUCAAAAUAUGGGAUAUAUAUAUAUAGUCUUACCGUACAAUACUAAGUUUUAACUUUAGUAUUAAUGUCCCAAACUCGCACCCCCUUCUGCUUAUUUUCUGCUAGACGAUGUCUUUUCCCAGUGAAUAUAGG